ensembl:lncRNA
CGGCAGCGCGGCAGCUCCGGUGCGGGAGCGCCGUGCUCCUGUGGGGCCGUACCUCAGUGUUACUGCAAAGGUAAAACCCCGCUCCGGCGGCGGGCUCGUGCGUAAAUAACAUCUGUGUGUGGGCGGAUGGUGGGCAGCUCUGCUCGCAGGGACGGAGAGGAACCGCUCCGAGCCGCAGCGUUUGAAAUCGUAAACGUAGCCAGAGAAGUUUGGAAGGAACUCGUCGUAAUGGUCUGUUUAUAAAAAUGGAGAUUAAUCUUGUCCCGUUCCAUAUAAGCACCACGAGUCUGGUUUUUUUUCGCUCUUUUCGUUUUUCGAGCGAUUGUUGUACGUUGGCUUUAAAAACAACAGCGACAAAAAAAUGUUUUCUAGGAAAAGCGUUUGUCUUUUUUUUUUUUCUUUUCUUUUCUCCCCCUAAAAAUAAUUAGGAAUUCAGUAGUUUUGCUACGCCGUUCCGACCAGAACUUUCUCACGUGUUCGCGUGGAGCAGAGCUGCCCGACCCGAUGCUGGGGCGGUUUCCAACAAGUGCCCCGCUCUGCUGCGGGGGAAAUGUGCCCCCGCACGUUGGCUCGCAUCGACACGGAAAGGGCUUCUGUUAGCGAGGGGGGAAUGGCUUCCAGAGAGUGCGAUUUGGCUCGGGAGUCAAAGAAGUUAAAGGAUGAUAUUAAUGGAUAUCACCGUUGAAAAUAAUUCAGCAGUGACUCCCCCGCCCCCCGGGAAGUUGCCUGCUCGCGGGCAUUGUGUGAGAUAACAGCUCCGGACUCCUCUUUCGCUCUUUGUGAGCUCCGUUCCUUUGUGGGACUCCUCCAAAUCAAAGCCCGCUGUAGUUCGGGUGGGAAAACGCAUUUCUGUUACUGGGAAGUUGAGGAGGCUGGAAAUAUUUAAUAGGAAAACCCCACCACGGUAGCAUCUAAAAGCAAUAACUUUAAAAUCGAGGGGAAGAAAAAAAAAAAAAAAAAAGCUUUUAUUUGUUCCGUUUUACCUCUCCCGCUGAGCGUUCCGGAGAUGCGUUUACUGUUAAUUGCCGUUCGGCGAUUUUCAAAAGGUAACUGCAAAUUUAGAAAGCGUCAUUCAGAAAGACAUUUAAUGCUCUCGUAUUUGCUAACAGAAUAUAUCGCUAUUUAAAAGCCGUCUGAUGGAAAGGGAAGAUGGAAAAAAAAAAAAAUAGAGGGAGAGACUGCACGUUGCCCUUCUUUGUUGCUCUUUAUUUUGUGUUUGUGUGGAACGUGUUGAUGUAUUGCACGUAGGAAUUUUCUUCUUUUUUUGUGGGGGGUGGGAAGCAGCCCCGUUGUUACACGUAAUGGGAAGCAACACGGGAUGAAAAUGCCCCACGUUCCCCACUCUGCAGUGCCCACGUAAGGGUGACAAACCGCGGGCCGAGGCUCGCGCCCUCCGUCCUCCAGCAACGUGAGGCUGCCCAGAUCCCAGCGUGGCCGCGCCGGCCUUUGGCUCUCAGGCAGUUCCUCACGGUCACAAUCUACACAGAUAUAUUUCUUCCACGUCCGUAUGUGGGGAAUUGAAAUUAGAUGGUAACCAGUGGGAACGGAGCCCUCUGAUCGAAAGACCUCUCUCUCUCUCUCUCUCUCUCUCUUUUUUUUUUUUUUUUUUAUUGCAUUUGGCAACCUCUUUUCUUUCAGAGGCACAAUACAAUUAAUUAACAUAUUCUGGGGCGUGUUUUUGCGAUUGGGAAGUGGUGGCCCCUUGUUGAGAAGAAAACACUUUAAAUAAAAAAGUAACAUUGUUGUGUCCAAAUGGUACUGGGAAAAGCAGAGCGGUACAUGGGCUACAGCCCAUGGAUGCGGUUGAUUUACUCCAGUUUGCUCUAGCAUAUACCAAACCAGCUUUUCCUUUCCCACGCCCAUAUGAGAUAUGUGUUUUGUUUAUACAAAUCCACCUAAAAUAGGUCUGUAUUUAAGAUAUUUGAUGGGAAAUUCAGCACGUCGUUUCUCCUAUGUGGUGGGUAGCAGAGAUACGAUUCCUAAAUUGAAAUCAAAUACACGUGAGCAGCGACACGAUACAGUAUCACGCUGCUCAUCGUAACACCACAAACAUGAGAAAAGGCUGUUAAUUUAUAUGGAAUGUUAAUUUGGCAAAUCCCACGCUGAGGUAUGCCUGUGCAGAAAGAGUAAUCCGAGGCUUGGUUUUGGCAUGAUGCUAUGUAAAUGUAUUUAAUAAAAAUCCAGCCAAUUAAUACGUACCUCCCCCGGAUCCAACCUUUGCAGUGACGUGUGCUUUAAAGAAAAGCCCGAUGUUAUGUUGAAGUUGCAUAUAAUCUAAAUUCCAGAGUUUACUAACGCAGCUUUUCGGGGCUUAACACGACGUUAAUAUUCAAUAUGGUUUGCUGGAAGUUUAUUUCAGGUUCUUUUGUAUCAUACUGUAAUUAUCAUUGCUUUGACUUGACUCACAUAAAAAUGUGGUUAACGUUUAAAUGUCUUUUUAAUGUAGAGAAUUAUAAAUUAACUGUCACAUGUAAAUCUUUUAGCUUCUAUCACUUAGGGAAUGUUAAGUCUUUCACAAGGAAAUAAUCACCACGCUUAAAAAUAUCCCGGGUAGGAUCCUUUCCUUUAGAAUUUUGGUCUGAGAUGGUUCAUUCAAAGAAAAUCCCUUGUUUGGUGUUUACUGUAAACCUCGGUUGGAAAUUAACAUUUAAAUGCCAACAUGAGUAACAGGAGCUGUACUUGAAAACCACCACCGCUACCCAUGGCUGCUAGCUAAGUGGAAUUUACCAAAGUCUCCAAAGGUGAUAAUGCAAUUAAAACCAAUAAAAUGAAUACAAGAGUUGGUGGAAUUCUCCCCCCCUUCCUUUCCACUCUGAGGAAUUACAAAAUUAGGCAUUCCGUUCACAUGAAGGAAAAUAGCACGAGGUGUGGAGGGGCGCGGUGUCCAGGAGAUGCGCCAGCGUGACCCCUGGUGCUGCUACCUGUACCCGUGUUACGUGUGCAACGUGCAAGCUGCCCGGCACGAACUCACCACAUCUGAAGCGUUAGAAGGUUCUAAUCAUUCAGCAACUUGCAUUGGGGUAGGUGUUAAACACAGAUGUGACCAUUAUAUUAAAGAAUAGAAGGGAAAAGAAAACUUUACUUUCUUGGUAUAAUUUAGGAGUAAGCACGUAAAGAUGCGUUAGUGCUUCACCGUGGGUUGUGGACACGCCGUAUCCAUCCUAACUGAACACGGGCAGAAAUAAUUUGUUGGGUCCAAGGCGGGCUGCCAUUCAGAACACGCUACGUGCAAAGGUCAGCACGCGGGAGUCGCAUUCUGCUUUGUGUAGAGUGACCAUUUUGCUGCUGCCUUCCCAGAAAUGAAGCGAGUAGCCACGAUUAGGAUGUAUUUCCACGAAGACCGUUAAUGAUUUAAACCCGCAGAAACAAAAGGCAGACGAGCAUCAAUCUAUUUUAAAGAGAUAAAUGGGGGAAGUAUUAUUGUAUGUAUUGAGAACCUCCGAGUUACUGCAAUUUUCCUGGUCUCGGUUGCAUCCGCUCACUGUAGUGUGUGUCCUUUUGUACAGAGGUAAAGAUCAAAGCUUUCCCAACAGAGUCGCAAGUUGAAAAUGGACUAAAAAUGGCGACGAGAAAUUUGCUGUAAAGAAUCAGCUGUAAAGUGAGUUUUCCCACUCGGCAGUUCCAGCUCCGAUGUCAGUCGAUGCUUUCUAAUACAGCACCCAUUUUAUGUAAAACUCUGCUUUUUCUGUUAUUCGUGGAGGACUCCUGUGAUGCUUCCAUCCACCCAAUAACGUGCCUCUGUAAAGGAAAGACUUCUGCUUGUUCAAUGCUUUGUUUUAUUCACCGAAGUUACAAUGAUUGUAUACUUUGUAGAGAAAAAGCAGUGAAAUUUAAAGCGAGUAUGCAGAUCCCAGCAUUGUUGUUGGAAGUGAUUAAUGGCUAGUAAAAAUUUAAGGUGAAUACCUCUUUAUUUUUGCUAAUGAAGCUGACGUGCCACGCAGUGCUGCAUGGUAACAUUUCCGUGAGGGAUCCCUUAAACUUUUGAAACGCUUCACACGUGGGAAGGGUAAUUUUCAUUCACUCGUGCAUUCAUUCUACUCAAAAAACAGCUAAAAAAAUGUGGGUACGUAUCACCCUGUUGUAUGUUUGUCAUACCCAAACUCGCCUAGCUGUUAGACCCUGUAGGUUUCUUUUAAGAGAAUUGGCUUUUCUCCUCGUGUUGAGAUUAACAAUGAAAUUAUUCAGUCUUACCCCCUGAAUUAUAUUCCUCUCUAAUUAUUUUAAUCUCUUAUAUAUCACUAUAAGAAGGACAGGCUUCUUUUUUCAAACAGAAAAUUGGCCUUCUGUGUCGUGUCAGCGCUUAUUAAAUACUACAAUCAUAAGAACACAUAUGCUACAAGAUUUUACGUUCUGAUUCCGUAGCUGUUACGGGCUUAGCGGCUGCAGUAUUUAUUUAGUGGUAAUGCAUUGCUUUUUCCUAUUUUGCAUUUCAAAGCUCUCCCUUAAACGACUGUUUUACAGAACUAUCCAGAGGUUAUCUAAAUUUCCCCAUCAAAUAUUACGCAGCACCAUAAGCUGGGAGUCGUGGAGUUUCUUUCCUUUCAUUUACAUUCUCUUUAUAGAAAGAACUGAUCAGAAAAGCCACAAAAAAUACAACAAAUCCUUUAGGAAACAGUUCGGUGUAUUUGGUUUGACUGAAUUUGGACCAAAGCAAAGUUUCAAGCUGGUGUUAAACGCUCUCAGAGUACAACGUUUUUAUUUGAACGCUAUGCAGUGUGCUUCUCAUGGAUAUAUUCUCGGUUCCUCGGCGCGGCUUUAAUCACGUUGUUGCAAAGCAAUUAAUUUUUUUGUUGCUGUAGUGAUGCAUUUUUAUAAAGCCAGAAAUUGGGUUUCAGAAUCACCAACGUCAAAAAAGCCAAAGCCCCAAACCCGGCGCUGCCGGGAGCCGCACGCGUUGCUGUUCAAAGAGGAAGCUGCAGGAAAACCGUCUCAAUUAAUUAAUAAAGAAAUAGGAAAGCAAAAGCAAUGAUAAAAAUGUACGACUGUUUGUUGCAAUACGAGCGUUACUGUACGCGUACAUUCGUCCAGCAAAUUAAAAUACACUUAAUAUGUUUUCCUCUCAAAAGGAUAUUUGUUUUAAUUUACCUGUCAGGGAAAUAAAGGACAGAUUUGCCGCUGUACCGUGAUUUUUUUCUCCUUGUCAGGGUUAACAGAAUCAUUGGGAAUGCUUUUUAAAUUAGAUGUCAUUUUCUUGACACGAACGAGGAAGGGCCAGGAGGGUGUAUCUACCUUCAGAUCAUUUGCCUUUUUUAGCAGUGGGGUCUGUUGGGUGCUUUAUUUCCUCACGCAGUAAUUGCUCACACCUGCAAUUUUCAGCGUACUUUUUUACAAGCCUUAAAAGUAAUAAAAAUAGCGUUGUGUGUUUUCUCCUACAAAUAGUUCCGAGUUCAGACGUGUGUUCUUCCCUGCUAAGAUGGGGCGGUUUCGUGCGGGGCGGCUUUUUUUUUGGGAGCACUGCUUGCAUUAUUUUACGCAAACCGAAACAUUCCACAUCCCGACACCCUCCCCCCGUUUGUUUUUUUGUUCCGUGCGUGCAAAACGUCUAACCUCGGGGAUACGGCAGCGUGCAUUUACAGAGAAACGUUACAGCGGGUCCCAAAUGGCUGUGCUAAUUGCACUGGGCUGGGCCUUCACGGAGGAAGCUGCCUCCAUCACUCCCCUUGCCUUUGCCCUCCAUUCUUCCUCUAUUUAUCUAAUUUCACUUAAAACUUUCAGGGAGAGAAAAGAGCGUGACCCGAGCUGUCCUGCCUGCACUGCGGCUCUGGGGGUGGAGCUGGGCACAUCCUUACCCAGAUCCCUUCUUCCUGCUCCCAUACACGUUAGUUAACAACAUAUAAAACGCAUAUAUAUGUGCGGGUCCAGGUAGCCACGCGUCCAGGAAAGCACACAGUUCAGCAGUGAUUUGUGCAGAUACCGGAUCCACAGAGCUGGCCUUGCACAGUGGUCACAAAAAGCACCCGUUCGCCACACCAAUUCUACACGUCUGCCUUUUAGCGCGGCAACGGAGAUGAAGCAGUGAGGGCUUCCUGGCCCAACGCAAAUACAGAAACAAAAUAAAUAUCUAGCGGCCCUGGGGCGGGUGAGGGAGGGCCGGGCCGGGCUGCCUGCAUUUCUGUGCUCCCGAGCCCUGCCACGAGCACUGGAGCUGCCUGCAGCUCGGGGCCGUCCUCAGAGCGGGCCGCCUCUGCUCAACCAG